rnacentral:rRNA from 1 species
ACGAACGCUGGCGGCAGGCCUAACACAUGCAAGUCGAACGCUCGUAGCAAUACGGGAGUGGCAGACGGGUGAGUAACGCGUGGGAACGUGCCCUUCGGUUCGGAAUAACCCAGGGAAACUUGGGCUAAUACCGGAUACGUCCGUAAGGAGAAAGAUUUAUCGCCGAAGGAUCGGCCCGCGUCGGAUUAGCUAGUUGGUGAGGUAACGGCCCACCAAGGCGACGAUCCGUAGCUGGUCUGAGAGGAUGAUCAGCCACACUGGGACUGAGACACGGCCCAGACUCCUACGGGAGGCAGCAGUGGGGAAUAUUGGACAAUGGGCGAAAGCCUGAUCCAGCCAUGCCGCGUGAGUGAAGAAGGCCCUAGGGUUGUAAAGCUCUUUCAGCGGGGAAGAUAAUGACGGUACCCGCAGAAGAAGCCCCGGCUAACUUCGUGCCAGCAGCCGCGGUAAUACGAAGGGGGCUAGCGUUGUUCGGAUUUACUGGGCGUAAAGCGCGCGUAGGCGGGUCACUAAGUCAGGGGUGAAAUCCCAAGGCUUAACCUUGGAACUGCCUUUGAUACUGGUGACCUGGAGAUCGGGAGAGGUUGGUGGAAUUCCGAGUGUAGAGGUGAAAUUCGUAGAUAUUCGGAGGAACACCAGAAGCGAAGGCGGCCAACUGGCCCGAUACUGACGCUGAGGCG